rnacentral:rRNA from 1 species
AACCAGACUCCUACGGGAGGCAGCAGUGAGGAAUAUUGGUCAAUGGGCUUACGCCUGAACCAGCCAAGUCGCGUGAGGGAAGACUGCCCUAUGGGUUGUAAACCUCUUUUGUCAGGGAGCAAUUGGCGCUACGUGUAGCGUUAUCGAGAGUACCUGAGGAAAAAGCAUCGGCUAACUCCGUGCCAGCAGCCGCGGUAAUACGGAGGAUGCGAGCGUUAUCCGGAUUUAUUGGGUUUAAAGGGUGCGUAGGCGGACUGCAAAGCCGGCGGGAAAGUCGCGGGGCCAACCCUCGCUCCGCCGUUGAAACUGGCGUUCUUGAGUGGGCGAGAAGUAUGCGGAAUGCGUGGUGUAGCGGUGAAAUGCAUAGAUAUCACGCAGAACUCCGAUUGCGAAGGCAGCAUACCGGCGCCCAACUGACGCUGAAGCACGAAAGCGUGGGUAUCGAACAGGAUUAGAUACCCGUGUA